rnacentral:rRNA from 1 species
UACGUAGGGGGCAAGCGUUGUCCGGAUUUAUUGGGCGUAAAGAGCGUGUAGGCGGCCACACAGGUCAGCUGUGAAAACUCGAGGCUCAACCUCGAGACGUCGGUUGAAACCGUAUGGCUAGAGUCCGGAAGAGGAGAGUGGAAUUCCCGGUGUAGCGGUGAAAUGCGCAGAUAUCGGGAAGAACACCCGUGGCGAAGGCGGCUCUCUGGGACGGUACUGACGCUCAUGCACGACAGCGUGGGGAUCAAACAGG